rnacentral:rRNA from 1 species
GACGAACGCUGGCGGCGUGCUUAACACAUGCAAGUCGAACGGCAAGGCCCUGCUUUUGUUGGGUGCUCGAGUGGCGAACGGGUGAGUAACACGUGAGUAUCCCGCCCUUUACUUUGGGAUAACUUCAGGAAACUGUGGCUAAUACCGGAUAGGAGCUCCUGCUGCAUGGUGGUGGUUGGAAAGUUGCCGCGGUUGGGGAUGGAUUCGCGGCUUAUCAGCUUGUUGGUUGGGUAGUGGCCUACCAAGGGUUUGAAGGGUAGGCGGCCAGGGCGGGUGAACAGCGACAAUGGGACUGAGGGACGGACCAGACUCGUACGGGAGGCAACAGUGGGGAAUAUUGCACAGUAGGGGGAAGCCUGAGGCGGCAACGCCGCGUGCGGAAUGAAGGCCUGCGGGUUAUAAAAAGCUUUCGGCUAUGACGAAGGGUGAGUGACGGUAAUGUGUAAAGAAGCACCGGCUAACUACGUG